GCCCAGGACUUUGAAAUUCUUUGUGAUGAACAAUGCCUGCAUAAAGCAUGGAGAAAAUGAGAUAAGAAUCAAAUUCAAGGCUUUCUGCAGAUACAAAUACCAAAGCACUAUUAGCCAUGAAAAUUUUGUUGGAUCUUACUUCUUAUGGUGAUUAACAUCCUGUGAUGGAAGUUAGUCAUGCUUUAUUUCAAGGUUUCAUUUGCAAGUGCUGUACAAAUUAAUAAUAAAUAGACCUCUCAAUUA